rnacentral:ncRNA from 2 species
AAAAGAGACCCGGUUGCCGCCGGGUCAGUAUAAAUGUUGGCCCAUCAAGAGGGCUGGCUUAACAACUUCAUGAAAGUAUUUAGGAUAGACUUUACCCUUUUACUUUGCCGAGCUCAAGGGGUGGGUCUAUUUCUUCUUU